GUAUGCUUAACACAUGCAAGUCGAACGAAAGCUUUAUGCUUUAGUGGCGAACGGGUGCGUAAUACGUGAGAAUCUGCCCUUAGGAGGAGAAUAACUUCUGGAAACGGUUGCUAAGUCUCCAUAUGCCGAGAGGUAAAAUAGUUUAUACUGCCUAGGGAUAAGCUCACGCCUGAUUAGCUUGUUGGUAAGGUAAUGGCUUACCAAGGCCACGAUCAGUAGCUGGUUUGAGAGAACGAUCAGCCACACUGGGACUGAGACACGGCCCAGACUCCUCCGGGAGGCAGCAGUGAGGAAUUUUCCGCAAUGGGCGAAAGCCUGACGGAGCUAUACCGCGUGAGGGAUGAAGGAUUUUGGUCUGUAAACCUCUUUUCUCAAGAAAGAAGUUCUGACGGUACUUGAGGAAUAAGCAUCGGCUAACUCCGUGCCAGCAGCCGCGGUAAUACGGGGGAUGCAAGCGUUAUCCGGAAUCAUUGGGCGUAAAGCGCCUGUAGGUUGUUUAAUAAGUCUGUUGUUAAAGACUAGGGCUCAACCCUAGGAAGGCAAUGGAAACUACUAGACUUGAGUAUGAUAGGGGGUAGAGGGAAUUUCUAGUGUAGCGGUGAAAUGCGUAGAUAUAGGAAGAACACCGGUGGCGAAGGCGCUCUACUGGAUCAUUACUGACACUCAGAGGCGAAAGCUAGGGUAGCAAAAGGGAUUAGAUACCCCUGUAGUCCUAGCCGUAAACGAUGGAUACUAGAUGUUGCGUUUAUUAUGCAGUAUCGUAGCUAACGCGUUAAGUAUCCCGCCUGGGGAGUACGCUCGCAAGGGUGAAACUCAAAGGAAUUGACGGGGGCCCGCACAAGCGGUGGAGCAUGUGGUUUAAUUCGAUGCAACGCGAAGAACCUUACCAAGGCUUGACAUACUACAAAUUUCUUUGAAAGAGGAAAGUGCCUUCGGGAAUGUAGAUACAGGUGGUGCAUGGCUGUCGUCAGCUCGUGUCGUGAGAUGUUGGGUUAAGUCCCGCAACGAGCGCAACCCUUAUUUUUAGUUGCUAAUUUAUUAGGUUUUCUAGAAAGACUGCCGGUGACAAACCGGAGGAAGGUGAGGAUGACGUCAAGUCAGCAUGCCCCUUAUGCCUUGGGCUACACACGUGCUACAAUGGUUAAGACAAAGAGUUGCGAGCUCGCGAGAGUCAGCUAAUCUCAUAAACUUAGCCUAAGUUCGGAUUGUAGGCUGCAACUCGCCUACAUGAAGUCGGAAUCGCUAGUAAUCGCUGGUCAGCCAUACAGCGGUGAAUCCGUUCCCGGGCCUUGUACACACCGCCCGUC
rnacentral:rRNA from 1 species